AUAAUGGGUCAGCGACUUAUAUUCUGUAGCAAGGUUAACCGAAUAGGGGAGCCGAAGGGAAACCGAGUCUUAACUGGGCGUUAAGUUGCAGGGUAUAGACCCGAAACCCGGUGAUCUAGCCAUGGGCAGGUUGAAGGUUGGGUAACACUAACUGGAGGACCGAACCGACUAAUGUUGAAAAAUUAGCGGAUGACUUGUGGCUGGGGGUGAAAGGCCAAUCAAACCGGGAGAUAGCUGGUUCUCCCCGAAAGCUAUUUAGGUAGCGCCUCGUGAAUUCAUCUCCGGGGGUAGAGCACUGUUUCGGCAAGGGGGUCAUCCCGACUUACCAACCCGAUGCAAACUGCGAAUACCGGAGAAUGUUAUCACGGGAGACACACGGCGGGUGCUAACGUCCGUCGUGAAGAGGGAAACAACCCAGACCGCCAGCUAAGGUCCCAAAGUCAUGGUUAAGUGGGAAACGAUGUGGGAAGGCCCAGACAGCCAGGAUGUUGGCUUAGAAGCAGCCAUCAUUUAAAGAAAGCGUAAUAGCUCACUGGUCGAGUCGGCCUGCGCGGAAGAUGUAACGGGGCUAAACCAUGCACCGAAGCUGCGGCAGCGACGCUGAUGCGUUGUUGGGUAGGGGAGCGUUCUGUAAGCCUGUGAAGGUGUGCUGUGAGGCAUGCUGGAGGUAUCAGAAGUGCGAAUGCUGACAUAAGUAACGAUAAAGCGGGUGAAAAGCCCGCUCGCCGGAAGACCAAGGGUUCCUGUCCAACGUUAAUCGGGGCAGGGUGAGUCGACCCCUAAGGCGAGGCCGAAAGGCGUAGUCGAUGGGAAACAGGUUAAUAUUCCUGUACUUGGUGUUACUGCGAAGGGGGGACGGAGAAGGCUAUGUUGGCCGGGCGACGGUUGUCCCGGUUUAAGCGUGUAGGCUGGUUUUCCAGGCAAAUCCGGAAAAUCAAGGCUGAGGCGUGAUGACGAGGCACUACGGUGCUGAAGCAACAAAUGCCCUGCUUCCAGGAAAAGCCUCUAAGCAUCAGGUAACAUCAAAUCGUACCCCAAACCGACACAGGUGGUCAGGUAGAGAAUACCAAGGCGCUUGAGAGAACUCGGGUGAAGGAACUAGGCAAAAUGGUGCCGUAACUUCGGGAGAAGGCACGCUGAUAUGUAGGUGAAGUCCCUCGCGGAUGGAGCUGAAAUCAGUCGAAGAUACCAGCUGGCUGCAACUGUUUAUUAAAAACACAGCACUGUGCAAACACGAAAGUGGACGUAUACGGUGUGACGCCUGCCCGGUGCCGGAAGGUUAAUUGAUGGGGUCAGCGCAAGCGAAGCUCUUGAUC
rnacentral:rRNA from 1 species